rnacentral:lncRNA from 1 species
UGGAAUAUGGAGAUGUUGGAAUUAAGGUCAUUCCUCGUCCCAUUUCUUUAAACUGACCUUCGUUGGUGAUUCUGCCUUCUAAAGGUCAGGGGGUUUUCUUGGCAGAUGGUAGUUACCUAAAGCCACACCCUCAGUUCAACUCUGGUGGUUUGCAUAAUCUGCCUACAUCACGGGGUGGUUAUGAAGUUCAAAUGAGAUAAUGCUGGUGGAAAUGCUUUUGAGAAGUUAUCAAAAAACCUGUUUGCAUUAUUUAAUUACACUUUGUUCUUUGAAAAAAAUAGCUACUUCAUUAUUUCUGUAAGUAUGUUGCUACCCAUUAAGUCUUUUGACUUGGAAUUGUGCAAAGAAUAAAAUUUACUGAUUUAACAGUGAUAUCUGUUCUUUUUCUUGAAGCCUAAAAUUCUUUAUUAUAAUUGAUGAGUAAAGAAGACAUAGAGGAGAACCUACUGAUAAAGGCUGGAAAUAACAAUGUGAUUGGAAGUAAGAAGUGAGACAGAGCACAAAAAACCCUCCAAGUAAGUUAAGUUGGGAAGCCUGAGGCCAGUUGGAGGCAGGGAUGUGGACACAGACCUGUAUCUACAUUAUCUCUAACAAAGAAGUUGAAAAACUUUUUUACUACCAAGUUCCAUAUUCUAGUAGAUCUCUGUCCAGAAGAAUGUAAAUACAUUUUAUAAAUACAAAACUAUUUAAUUAGUAUGAGUGAAGCUAAAGUAUUUAUACAUAUCAACUCUACAUAAGCAAGAAAAAAGUGAACUUAAAUAUCUUCUGAAUACUAUUAAUACAAAAUGGUUGGAAAGUCCAUAAGAUUUGAAACAACAGUGGCACAGAAUUCAAAAAGAAAAUCAUUAAAAUUAUAUAUGACUAAACUUCUUUCUCUUAAUUAAAAAAAGGAAGGUUAUACUAAGUUUUUCUAAUUACAAAUGCAAAUAAUGCCAGGGUUAAGCUAUUAAAAAUUAACAGGAAAUAAUUUUUUUGGCUUCUAGGUAGUUUUCAGAAAGUACUUACCAAAAGAAGUUAUUUCCGUACAGUAAUUCUGAAAUGUUUUCUCUAAGUUCUUUGGCAUGAUUUUGGACAUUUAGGAGAUAAUAGUUAAAGAGAAUUAAGUAUUUUAAUGCAUAUGUACAAAGAACUUUUGGUGAUAAAAGUACAAAUAUGAAGAAAUUUUAUAAAACUGCAUAAAGAAUAAAUUAAUGAUGUCUCACUUUUAACCUUAGAGA